rnacentral:pre_miRNA from 1 species
CUUACCCUGUAAAUCGGAGAAGUGUCAAAUUAGACAAGCUUCUCGUUUCACAGGGUAUAUU